AGCGAACGCUGGCGGCGUACUUAACACAUGCAAGUCGAACGGGGAUCGUCGGUGUAGCAAUACAUCGGCGGUUCUAGUGGCGCACGGGUGAGUAACACGUGGGUAACCUGCCCUUGAGUUCGGGAUACCCUUUCGAAAGGAAGGCUAAUACCGGAUACGUUCCUCGGAUUGCGAAAUCUGGGGAGGAAAGGUGGCGCAAGCUGCCGCUCUUGGAGGGGCUCGCGGCCUAUCAGCUAGNGGUGAGGUAACGGCUCACCAAGGCUAUGACGGGUAGCUGGUCUGAGAGGACGACCAGCCACACGGGAACUGAGACACGGUCCCGACUCCUACGGGAGGCAGCAGUGGGGAAUUUUGGACAAUGGGCGCAAGCCUGAUCCAGCCAUGCCGCGUGAGUGAAGAAGGCCUGGUU
rnacentral:rRNA from 1 species